rnacentral:rRNA from 1 species
ACUCCUACGGGAGGCAGCAGUGGGGAAUAUUGGACAAUGGGGGGAACCCUGAUCCAGCCAUGCCGCGUGUGUGAAGAAGGCCUUAUGGUUGUAAAGCACUUUAAGCGAGGAGGAGGCUACUGAGACUAAUACUCUUGGAUAGUGGACGUUACUCGCAGAAUAAGCACCGGCUAACUCUGUGCCAGCAGCCGCGGUAAU